UUUCUUUCUUUUUUUUCUUUCGCUUGCUCUUUGCUAGCAUCUCUUUUGGCGUCUCAAAAGAGCUGAUUCGCUACUAUUAAAAAAAAAAAAAAAAAAAAA
rnacentral:ribozyme from 1 species